ACAGGGAUUGCCCUAGUAACGGCGAGUGAAGCGGCAACAGCUCAAAUUUGAAAUCUGGCCUCGGCCCGAGUUGUAAUUUGCAGAGGAUGCUUCUGGCGCGGUGCCUUCCGAGUUCCCUGGAACGGGACGCCACAGAGGGUGAGAGCCCCGUAUGGUCGGACACCAAGCCUGUGUGAAGCUCCUUCGACGAGUCGAGUAGUUUGGGAAUGCUGCUCUAAAUGGGAGGUAAAUCUCUUCUAAAGCUAAAUACCGGCCAGAGACCGAUAGCGCACAAGUAGAGUGAUCGAAAGAUGAAAAGCACCUUGAAAAGGGGGUUAAAUAGUACGUGAAAUUGUUGAAAGGGAAGCACUUAUGACCAGACUUGGGCCGGGCGGCUCAUCAGGGGUUCUCCCCUGUGCACUCCGCCCGGCACAGGCCAGCAUCGGUUUUCGCGGGGGGAUAAGACCGACGGGAACGUAGCACCCUCCGGGGUGUGUUAUAGCCCGGCGGACGAUACCCUCGCGGGGACCGAGGACCGCGCUUCGGCAAGGAUGCUGGCGUAAUGGUCAUCAGUGACCCGUCUUGAAACACGGACCAAGGAGUCGUCCAUUAGAGCGAGCGUUUGGGUGUAAAACCCGCACGCGUAAUGAAAGUGAACGCAGGUGAGAGCUUCGGCGCAUCAUCGACCGAUCCUGAUGUUCUCGGAAGGAUUUGAGUAAGAGUUUUAACGGACGGACCCGAAAGACAGUGAACUAUGCUUGUAUAGGGUGAAGCCAGAGGAAACUCUGGUGGAGGCUCGCAGCGGUUCUGACGUGCAAAUCGAUCGUCAAAUAUGAGC
rnacentral:rRNA from 1 species